rnacentral:rRNA from 1 species
UACGUAGGUGGCAAGCGUUGUCCGGAUUUACUGGGCGUAAAGAGCGCGCAGGCGGUCGUUCAAGUCGCGUGUGAAAGCCCCCGGCUCAACUGGGGAGGGUCACGCGAUACUGAUCGACUCGAAGGCAGGAGAGGGUAGUGGAAUUCCCGGUGUAGUGGUGAAAUGCGUAGAUAUCGGGAAGAACACCCGUGGCGAAGGCGGCACUCUGGGACGGUACUGACGCUGAGACGCGAAAGCGUGGGGAGCGAACAGG